rnacentral:rRNA from 1 species
AUUGAACGCUGGCGGCAGGCCUAACACAUGCAAGUCGAGCGAGCGGCGGCCGGGUGAGUACUGCCUGGGAAUUGCCCAGUCGACGGGGCUAACAGUUGGAAACGCCUGCUAAUCCCGCAUACGAUUGGAUUGCCCAGGUGGGAUUAGCUAGUUGGUAAGGUAAUGGCUAACAAAGGCGACGAUCCCUAGCUGGUCUGAGAGGAUGAGAAGCCACACUGGAACGGGAGUAGGGUCAAGAAUCCAACGGGAGGCAGCAGUGGGGAAGAUUGCACAAUGGGGGAAACGCUGAUGCAGCCAUGCCGCGUGUGGGAAGAAGGCCUUCGGGUUGUAAAGAACUGGCAGCGGGGAGGAGUUACUCGCAGAAGAAGAAGGGGAUAACUCAGUGCCAGCAGCCGGGGUAAGUC